rnacentral:lncRNA from 10 species
CACCUGUAGACUUGGGCUAUGUGUUAUUCUUUUUAAAAUCUCCAGCCAUGGUGGAGGUGUGGAUUUUCACUGCGAUGAGCUUGCUGAAGGAUCUGUGGAUUGCAAUGUCACCCUGGCCCUCACCCAGCUGCUCUCCUUGCAGGUCUGGUUAGCCCAGGGCCUGCUUCCUUCUGUGUGUGGGCCCUCCCCAGGGGCUCAGGCAGGGAGCUGAAGGACACACCUCACUCUCAGGACACUUGCUGUCUGUGAUCACCUUGCCAAGGGAUGUUCCCUUUUCCCAGGUUGUCUGAAAUAAAGAAGGCUUUGGCGGGGGAGCCCUGGCACCCCUUGUGACUGCUGUGAAGGUGCUUACAAAGUCCACUGAGUAGCCUCUGAUGGCUCCCUGGUUCCCUGACACAGUGGCAGGACUGGCACAGACCGAGCGGACCCCAUACUGAUUUGCUGUUCUCGGGACAGCACAGGAACAGCCGGGCAGCACCACUGACUCCUGGGAAGCAGGACGAUGACCUGCAGUCACCUGCAGCUCCUGUGCUGUCCUCUGUCUUCUACAAGUGCCAUUGGAAGGGGUCCCGGGUCCGACGUCUCCGGCGUCCUUCUGAGCCACUGCUACUCCUGAAGAGGGAGUCCCGGCUGCCCUUCCUCGGGGCAUAGUCCUAGCCCAGCACUGGCAGAGACGAUCUUCCUGGGGCUUCUGAGAAUUCAAGAUCCUGGCAUCAGAUGAGUGACGGUGUUCUGAGAGAGCUCAACCUGCUUCCCAAGGUGGUGCCCUCCCCCACCUCCAGGAUGGAAGAUUCUCCCGAGCAUGUCCUGGGGGUUGCUCUCGCCCGGCCUCCAUCCCCAGGCCCUCCUUCCCCUCUGCAUGACUGUUCUGUGGGGGGAACUGGGCAGACAGACCCAAAGCCUCCCAGCAGAAGAGAGAAGUGAGGAGGCUGGAGGCCAAUGCUUUCUUUGACUCUAAAAUGAAUUAUCUCAGUAUUAUAGAAAAUAUAAAAAUAUACAAUAAUAUUUAAAAAGGAAAUUGCAUUGUCACACACCCCACCUUCCAAGGGCUCACACUGUUAAUUAUUUUGCAGAAUAUUUUAUACUGUCUUAGCUUGAGAGGCAAGAUAUUAGACGAAUAGAAAUUGGAUUUAAUUUGUAAAUAUGGGUGCAUGCAUCCUUCUUAAUGAAGCUGAGAUCAUGCUUUACAUGGUUUGGCAAUCCCCUUUCCCAUUUAAUAUUACAUUGUGAACAUUUUUCAUUAUCUAAAAUAUUCUUUAAAACACGAGUUAAAAUGUCUACAUAACACAUUCCAAUGAAAAUAUAUCCCACAGCAUGGUCGACCAUUCCCAGAUUGCUGGAUAUACAGGGAGCAUCAGUGUUUUUAGAUAUUGUGUAGAUACGUGCUCACAUGUGAUAUGCAUAUUAUUAAGGAUGCUGCACUGAACAUCUUUACACAUGAGUCUUGAACCACAUCUAUGAUGAUCUUUCAGUUCACACUCUUAGAAAUGCAAUAGCUGAGCGAAAGGGAGUCAAGAAUGUCAGGGCUCUCGAUUUCCAAAAUCAAAUUAGUUUUACAGUCACACCGAGUCCCAGGGCCACCCGUCCAGCAUGAAUAUGCCCAUCUCACUCAACCCUUGCCAGCCGUGAGUGCAAUUUUAAAAGCUUGCUGCCCGUCGGAAACCAGAAAGUCACCCUAUGGCUUUGACCUGUCCUUGUUGGUAACCAGGGAGGCUCGGCUGUUGUGUGUCUUGGUGAGCCUGUGUGAAUCCUUUGUUCACUGGGCUCUGGAUUUCACUUGCCUCCCAGCCUCUGUGGACUGAGAGAGACCACGGCCACACACUGGUAGCUGGGAAUUGUGUCUGCACCAGCACACAGGGAGUGGCCUGGGUCUUGCUCUGUCUGCCUGGGACCCAACGCCUGCUGCAGGCUCAGAGGAUGAGGGUGGCCGCGGCUCCUCACCCACUGUGGCUGCAGCUGGGCUGGCCGGGUUGUGUUCCAGAGCUGCUGGCUCCGUGGUGGUGGCGUCAGUGAUUGCAGAGGAGGCUGGGCCGGCUGUGCUGCUCUCUGGGGAGACCUAAUGAGCUCCUGCUCACUCCUCAGGCUGAUGCCCAUGUCUCAGUCUACCCUGGACCCUUGGACAUGCUCUGUUCACACCACAUACCCCUGAAGCACGCUUGGCCCACGGAGCCCCCGCAUCCAGCCCGGGGCAGGUAUCUCUGCCUUCCUCGACCCGCCCUGCCUGACAGCGGGCUCCCACCUUCGUCGCCCCGCCCUGCCUGACAGCGGGCUCCCACCUUCGUCGCCCCGCCCUGCCUGACGGCGGGCUCCCACUUCGUCAGUGCAUUCUGCAAACUUGACUUGACCUGCAGCCAAACAGAGAAUUUUUCUCUUUUCAGAUGUUUCAUCUCUGUGGCCACCUGAACCCCAUCUGCGUGGGGCGUGUGGCUUGGCCAUCGCUGUGGCAACGGAUUCUCAGUGGUGCUGAGGCCUGGUCGUGGUCAUGGUGCUAAGGCCUGGCCGUGGUCAUGGGGAAGGAUUCUCAGUGGUGCCGAGGCCUGGCCGUGGUCAUGAGGAAGGAUUCUCAGUGGUGCCGAGGCCUGGCCGUGGUCAUAGGGAAGGAUUCUCAGUGUGCCGAGGCCUGGCUGUGGUCAUAGGGAAUGAUUGUCAGUGGUGCCGAGGCCUGGCUGUGGUCAUGGUGCC